AGCCGUAGGGCCCUACGGCU
rnacentral:misc_RNA from 1 species